UAGGGCUGAGCAGAAUUCGGUUUAAACCGAAAUAACCGACCGAACCGAACCGAUUUGAAAUUUUGGUUCGGUUUUAUUUUUUUUUCGGUUCGGUUCGGUUUGAAAUUUUAAAAAAAUCGGUAAUUUCGGUUCGGUUCGGUUUUAGACGUAAAAAUUUCGAUUAGACCGAACCGAACCGAAAUCACUUAUACUACGUCGUUUGAGUAGUUUCCUAAUUCCCUAUUUCCCUUCCCUUCCCUUCCUUUGCCUAAAUUUAAAACAAAUUUCUCUCUCCGUGCGUGCAUCUCUAUCUCUGUGCUCACCCACCCCUAAACCUAACGCCCUCACCUCUCAACGUGCCUCGCCUCUGAGUUCCAUCCAAGUUCCAGCGGCGGUUCCACCAUCCACCGUCCACCGUCCACCGUCCAGCCUCCGGUCUCUUUCUGAGUAGUAGAGCCACGCACGCAUCUCGUCGCGAGAUUCUCGCGCAUGUGAUGUGCCUCCACUCUCCUCUCGACUGGACUGAUUCACCAUCGUCGAUCUUCACCGAUCUUUAGUCUCUCUUUCCACGCAAUCAUCGGCGUCGGCCGUUGCUCUCUAUUGGCUCUCCACGCAUCAUCGGGCAGUCGGCAAUUUGGUCGUGCUUAUUCCACAGCCCUCAGUCCUCUCCGAGUCUCUGUGUCGCGCUUCCAGCCUUGAGCCUUUCACAGUUCGUGGACCAGACUCCGGGACCAAGAGUGCCACUCGCGCCUCCAGCCCUCGGUUGUGUCGGACAUGGUUGCCUGCCAGUGCCACGGCGUGCUGUUGAACUUGAGUCAACCGUAGAAGCUAAGUAAAUAUUUGUGAUUUGCUGUUGAUUGUUGAAUUUAUGUACUCUUGGUUGAAUUUGUGUACUAUUGAUUGUUGAAUUUGUGUUAUUGAUUGUUCAAGUGUGUGCUCUGCUCUUGAUUGUUGAUGUAAACUCAUGGCCGUGAAGUAUUCUGUUCUAGAUUAUGUUAACUGUUAUUAUUUUUUUUUUAAAAUCGGUUCAAUCGAUUGAACCGACCGAACCGAACCGAACCGAAUCAAAUCGGUUCGAUUCGGUUAUCCCUCUUAUUCGGUUCGGUUCGGUUUAUGUAAAAUACUGCAAUUCGGUUUUCGGUUAUUUCGGUUCGGUUCGGUUUUGAACCGAACCGACCGAAUGCUCAGCCCUAGGUGGAGGUGACAGAAGAGUUCACUCUAUCAAAAUCCUCGGCUUCAUCUUGAAAUAUCUCUUUAUUUCAAAAUUCGCUAUCAUUAAAAAAAAGGAAAAGUUUAACGGAUCAACUUGAUCAACGAUAGAUAUAGAUCAACAAGAUUAUUUGUAUAAUUUUAAUAAUAUUAGUCCCUUUUAUGUAUAUUCUAUUUAAUUUAGGCAAAAUAAUAAAAUAAUUAAAUUUUUUUUCAUCUUUUAUAAAUUAUAAUCAAUAUUUUUAAUUUUAUCUAAUUUAACUUAAUUUUAAAUGCUAAUAGUAAUUAUGUCAUAAUUUUAAUUGAGACAUAAAAAUUUUAUGAAAAAAUUAACACUAACUCAAAAUUUAAAAGAAAAUCUUUUAUAUUUACUGCACACAUCAAUAAAAUUCAUAUCUCAAAAUAAAUUUUUAAUUAUGAUUAAUAUUAACUUUUAAAAUUAAAUUAAAUUAGACAAAAUUAAAAAUAUUAGCUAUAAUUAAGAAAAAGGUGAAAAAUUUAAUUAUUUCUGCAUAUUUUACUUCACCAUUUUAACUUAUUUCUACAUAAAUAAUUUAGUUAUUUAUCAAUAUGAAUAUAAAAUUCAGGUUAAACAAUUUAUUAAUCAAAUCGAUUAAACUGAAUUAAUUAUAUCGAUUGAUUUAAUUUAUAAAUAAAAAUUUUAUUUGUAAGAAAUCACUGUGAUCUAAUAUAAAUCGAGCCGAUUAAUUCAUCAUACUACAAAUAAAUAUUUAAUUCAAAUCAAUCACUAUCUCAAUUUAAAAAAUAUAAUUUUAAAUGAUGUUAGGAUAUGAAGUUGGUAUUAAGAAUCGAAGAAUUACAGAAUUAAAAAUAAAUACAAAAAAUAAAUAAUAUAUUGAUUUAAUUUCGUUUAUUAAUUUGAUUACGUCCAAUUAAAAUUUUAUUAAUAUAUUCAUAUUAAUAAAAUUCAUAAUAAUCAUUAGUCUUUAUAUCUCACAUAAUAAAUAAUUAAUAUAUUCAUAUUACCGCAUCAACCAUACCUAUCUUAAAACAUUAUUACAACAAUUAUUUAUAUAACUAACUUUGUUUAAAUUAUUACAUAAUUUUUUUAUAUCAUAUUAUAUAAAUAAUUAGUAAAUGUUAACCUAUAAAAAUAAAAAAAUAAAAAUUCUUAAUUUCACCGGCUUAUAUGAAUAAUUUAUUUAUUAGUAUGUUAAAUUAAAUUAUUAGAUUUUUUUUAUUAUUUCUUAUACAAUAACCAGUGUAUAUCUUUCAUUAUUGAUAUGCAUGAAUUUAUUAUUAUAAAAAAUAUUUACUAUUUAGUUAUUAAAAAAUUUAUUAAAACAUUUUUUUAAUAAAAUAUUACUUUUAUUUAAAAAUAUAAUAAAAAAUUAAAUUAUUUUUUUAUUAUUUCAUUGAUUAAAAGAAAAAAUAAUUAAGAAUAUUUAAUAUAUUUAAAAAAAUAAUAAUAUUUUAAUAAAUUUUAAAAAAUAUAAAAAAUAACGUAUUAAUAAUAGCAAUAUCUAAAAAUUAAAUAAAUAGUUUUAUUUAAAUAUAAAAUUAAAUUUUAAAAAUUACCUAUUAUUUUUCAUCUAUUUUUUAAAAAUAAAUAAAAAAAUAACUAUUUUGUUGACGAAUAAAAAAUAUAAAAAUAUUUUAAUAAAUUUUUAAAAAUAUAAAAAUUGAUUUAUUAUUAAUAGUCAUAUUCAUAAAUUAAAUAAUAAAUUUCUUUAAAAAAUAUUUUAAAUAAUUCUUAAUUAUAAAUUUUUUUAAUUAAAAUUUUAACUUUCUUUCCAAAAAAUUACAUAUUAUAAUUUUAUGAAAAAUAUUUUUUAAUUAUUUAUAAAAUGUAAAAAGGUAUAACGUUUGGAAGUAUUAUUAUUAUUAAUUCUAUAAAUAUUAUUUAAUAAUAUACCGCUUCAACUUUAAUUCAAUUUCAGUUAAAUUCUAAGCCCAUAAGCCUCCGUUUUCAUUGAUAAUGAUCGAUAAGGUUUAAAACAUGGCGUAUUUUAAUUUUAGAAAAAAUAUUAUUUAGUCUUUUAAAGAAAUUAAUUAAUUAUUUUAUUAAUUUUUAAAAAAUAAUAUUAUAAAAAAUUUACUAUUUAAUUUUUUUUAUUAAUUUUACUAUUAAGUAUUUUACUACUUAAUUUCUAUAAUUUUAAAGAAUUUAUUAGUGAAUUUUUUAAAUUUUUUAAAAAUUUACUAAUUAAUCUCACCUUGUAUUAAAGUUAUUUUAAAUUUUUUUAUAAUAUUUAACUGUUAAAACUAAUAAAAAGACUAAUUAAUAGACUUUUUUAAUAUAUUUUUUAAAAUUGAAAGAACUAACUAAUAAAUUUUCAUUUAAUUUAAUAUACUAACUAAUUUAUUAAACUUAAUUAUAUAAUUAAGCUAAUUUUUCAUAUAACAUGCCUAUGUUAAUGAGCUAGCUAAGUAACUUUUUUAACAUAGGUUAAAGUAGAAUAUUUUUUAUUUGACUAAUUAAUAAAUCACAUAAAAAUUAUUUUUAUAUAUAUUGAUAAAAGUUGAUAUCCAAUGAUUUGUGAUUAAUAGACAUAUUUUUCAAUUAAAUUACUUUAAUAAAAAUAAUAAUUUUUUAUUAUUUAAAAGAUAAUAUAAUUUUUUUAUUAUUUGCCUCAAUAACUAUAAGAUAAAUAUGGCAUUGAGUCCACUUAUAAAACCUUUUUUAUUUACAUUUAAUAUAAAUUAUUUAGUAUGAUUGAUUUUAUAAAAAAUAAAAUUAUAUAAGAUUUAUUUUUUUUUAUAAAAAUUUUUUAAGUUAAAAAUAUUAAAUUAAAUUUUUAUAAAAUUUUUUAUUUUAAAUUGAGAAUGGAAAUGGAAAUGGGGCCCAAUGGGAAACUCAUUCGAAAUUGUGGUUUAAAGAGGUAUAGUUGGGUGUGGUUGAAGACUAGAGAAGUUGACUCGUGACAUAAUGGACAUUUUUGUUUUUGCUUGGUUUUCUUAAUAAACAAGCUAAUAGAAUUGCUUAAAAGUCCAAUACUUUUAAUUUUAUUGAUAAAAAAUAUAAUAAUUAAUAAUUAAUUAAAAAUAUAUAAUAAAUAAUUUUCAAGUAAUAAAAUAAAGAAAAUUGAACAAUUACUUGAAAAAGGAACGUGAAGUGACUUUUCUCUUGUAUAACUGGAAAAGAUUUCAUAGAUUAUAACACCCUAAUUUCUAGAUGAAUAUAUUGAUGAUCGUCGGGUCUCACACUGUUUUUGGACUACAUCCGGCUCAUGAGAACAUCCAUUCACCCUCACGGGUUCCUGGCAUGAUUUGUCCCCUUGAGUUCUUGCAUCGCAUCCUUCUCCAAGUGGAUUUGGCCCAAAUUUCCCUUUGGAAAUACGAGUUCCUGGCAGAAUUUGUCCCCUUGAGUUCUUGCAUCGCAUCCUUCCCCAAGUGAAUUUAGCCCAAAUUUCCCUUUGGAAAUUGCAACAUCCGGCUCAUGAGAACAUCCAUUCACCCUCACGGGUUCCUAGCAGGAUUUGUCCCCUUGAGUUCUUGCAUCGCAUCCUUCCCCAAGUGGAUUUGGCCCAAAUUUCCCUUUGGAAAUUGCCUCCCCACUACUCGAACCCUUGACCUCCCACUUUAAGAGAAUAGUCUGGUGAGAGUGAGUACCACUUGUUCCAUUGGCACAAUUGGUACUCACUCUCACCAGACUAUUUUCUUAGAGUGGGAGGUCAAGGGUUCGAGUAGUGGGGGAGGCGACCUAAUUUCCCUUCCGGGCCAAAUCCACUUGGGGAAGGAUGCGAGAACCUAAGGGGAUAAAUCCUGCCAGAAACUAUCCCCAGGAACCCGUGAGGGUGAAUGGAUGUUAAGAGCUGUUCACGACGCCAGUGGAAAGCUCGAGGUGGCACAGGCCAGGCGAGGGAUAGCCCUGGGCCGUGAACGGUAACAGUGCCGGGGUUCACGUCCGGGCUGUUACAUAAAAAGGCAAAGUACAAAAGUGAUUUUUAAAUAAAAGUAAGGAUUAAAGUGUAAUUUGAGUUUUUAAAAGACAGCACGUGAUCCACCUUUUCCUACCUCCUGUGCUAGUCUUCGGAUCAACUUUUGUUCACCGAAGCAAUAAUAGAGAAAGGGUAAAUGACUAUUAAAUCCUUUUAUUUUUUAUGAAUUUCAUUAAUUCGUCUCUAUUUCAAAUCACUCCAUUAAAAUAUCAAUGCAUUUUAUAAAAUGCAACUUUUAAGUCCAUCUGCUAAAAAAAUAUUAUUUAUAAUUUUAAAUAUUUAUAUCAUUUAGACCGUUUGACCGCGAAGGAGAUUUUAGAAAAUAUUGAAAUGUUUUUUAAUUGAAUAAUUUUUAAAUAAGAAUGAAUUAAUAGAAUUUUUAAAAGCCUAAAGACUUAAAGUAAUUUUUCUAAAAAGAGAAGGGUAAAAAGAGGAAAAAAAAAUUUAAAAACAAAAAAAAGAAAAGGAAAGGGGAAGAAAUAAAGAUAGAAGAAAAGAAGAAAAAGAGAAGAAGGAUGAAAGCAAGAGACCAGAAAUCAUUUCCAUAAGAAAGGAUUACUGGAAAAGGAAGAGAAGGAGAGCAAGAAAGGAAGGAAAGCAAAAUACGAAGAGAGAGAAGAACAAUGGCUUUUUUCUGCUAGUAAGGUGAGUUUUGCUUUAAUUUUUAAGUAUGUUUGAGAUUUAUAUGCUAAAAAAUUAUGAUUUUAAUUUGAUAAUUUUUCAAUAGUUGAAUUUAGAUAAAUAAUUUAUUAAAUAUGGAUUGUCUUAUUUUAAAUUAAAAAAAAAUAAUUUAAAAUUUUAAAGAGUUAAAUGUAUUACUUGAUAUUUUGAGAUAUAGUGGCAUUUUGAGGCUAAUUAAUUUGGUUAAUAUUUAAUUUAAAUUUUUAUAAAAUUAAUUAAUUUAUUUUUAUUUUUAAAUAUUAAAACAUUUUAUAUUUUAUAAAAUAUAGCUUUUUAAUUUUUCCGUUACAAAAAUCAAUAAUUAUUAUAAAUUAUUUAUAUUUUUUAAUUUUUAUAAUUUUUAACUAUAUAUAUUAUUUAAUCUUUAUAAUUUUGAAUAUUCAUACUAUUAAGUUUACUUUACUAAAAUUAAAAUAAAUUGAUAAAUAAUUUUUUUAAUAUAAAAAUUAAAAGUAUAUUUUAUAAAAUUUAGUAAAUUUUUUAAAAAAAUUUAGAAAUCUGCUAAUAAUUCUCUCAUUUCUUUUACUUUGAGGGAUGCUUCUCAUUUAAUAUUUAACAUACGUUGUUCAUAGGGUUUUCCUGUUUGAACUCCAUGCUUUUUUGCUUCAAUCAUCAAUAUGAAGAGCUGUUUGAGUCUCAGUCGUCGAUGUAAGGAGUAUUGGUCUCACUGUCGCAUCUUUUUUUGCAAGCCAGUCUUUUUCAUCUCAGGUAUUUGGUUAUUUUGUAAUAAGCAGUGGACUCAGUUAUGUGUCACUUAUUUAUUUGUAGCAAUAAAACAAUAUAAUUGUAGUUUAGAGUAAUUAUAUAUUAUAUUAAUCUGAUUAUGAUGGCCAAACACAUGUAUUUUUGCUGUCUAUUGUUAGUUAAUAUGAUUUCUUGAUUAAAAAAAAAAAAUUAAAAUUUUUAUGUGGGGAGAAAAUAUUUUCAAUAUAAAAUAAUUUUAAAUACAAAUUAUUUUUCACAUAAUAAUAAAUUUUCUUAAAGAUUUAGAGAAACAAAAUUAAAGCGGAUCGGAUGAAUUUUAGGUUUGAUAUUGAGCCAUGCCUUCGUGGAGAAUGCUGUGAUAUUCCCUUUUAUCACAUAUAUAAUGGAUAAUUGGAAGAAUCAGACUCUUCCAAAAGCUGCAGCAAUCGUGAAUGUACAAGAAGGCCUUUCAACCUUUUUCAGGCUUA
rnacentral:lncRNA from 1 species